rnacentral:rRNA from 1 species
AUUGAACGCUGGCGGAAUGCUUUACACAUGCAAGUCGAACGGUAGAGGGGGCAACCCCCUUGAGAGUGGCGAACGGGUGAGUAAUAUAUCGGAACGUGCCCAGUCGUGGGGAUAACGUAGCGAAAGUUACGCUAAUACCGCAUACGAUCUAAGGAUGAAAGCGGGGGAUCGCAAGACCUCGCGCGAUUGGAGCGGCCGAUAUCAGAUUAGGUAGUUGGUGAGGUAAAGGCUCACCAAGCCAACGAUCUGUAGCUGGUCUGAGAGGACGACCAGCCACACUGGAACUGAGACACGGUCCAGACUCCUACGGGAGGCAGCAGUGGGGAAUUUUGGGACAAUGGACGCAAGUCUGAUCCAGCCAUUCCGCGUGCAGGAUGAAGGCCCUCGGGUUGUAAACUGCUUUUGUACGGAACGAAAGGUUUCUAGUUAAUACUAGGAGCUCGAUGACGGUACCGUAAGAAUAAGCAACCGGCUAACUACGUGCCAGCAGCCGC